AAUAAUACAAAAGGAGGAUGAUGAUGAUGAUGAUGAUUUUUUCUGUGAAGUCACUUUAAUCCCUGCAGAACUUGUGGCUUCUGUGGAACUGCUCUUCUCAGAGGACCAACAGUGUGGAGGUUUCCAGAUGAAGCCUGUGAAGAAAGAAGAACCUGAAGAUAAAGAUGAACUCAAGAUUUCAGGUGAAAGAACCUCGAUCCCUGUGGAACACGUCACCUCUGAGGAACACCUCACCCCAGAGGACCAACAGUGUGGAGGUUUCCAGAUG